rnacentral:rRNA from 1 species
UACAGAGGGGGCAAGCGUUAUUCGGAAUUAUUGGGCGUAAAGGGCGCGUAGGCGGCUUGGCAAGUGGAAGGUGAAAUCCCUCGGCUUAACCGAGGAACUGCCCUCCAAACUGCUUCGCUUGAGACCGGGAGAGGUGAGUGGAAUUCCCAGUGUAGCGGUGAAAUGCGUAGAUAUUGGGAGGAACACCAGUGGCGAAGGCGGCUCACUGGACUGGUACUGACGCUGAUGCGCGAAAGCGUGGGGAGCAAACGGG